rnacentral:rRNA from 1 species
UACGUAGGGGGCUAGCGUUGUCCGGAAUCAUUGGGCGUAAAGCGCGUGUAGGCGGCCCGAUAAGUCCGCUGUGAAAGUCCAGGGCUCAACCCUGGGAUGCCGGUGGAUACUGUCGGGCUCGAGUCCGGAAGAGGCGAGUGGAAUUCCUGGUGUAGCGGUGAAAUGCGCAGAUAUCUGGAGGAACACCGGUGGCGAAGGCGGCAUCCUGGACCAACACUGACACUGAGGAGCGAAAGCCAGGGGAGCAAACGGG